GUGAGGAAUAUUGGUCAAUGGGCGGGAGCCUGAACCAGCCAAGUCGCGUGAAGGAAGAAGGAUCUAUGGUUCGUAAACUUCUUUUGCAGGGGAAUAAAGUGCAGGACGUGUCCUGUUUUGUAUGUACCCUGAGAAUAAGGAUCGGCUAACUCCGUGCCAGCAGCCGCGGUAAUAUGGAGGAUCCGAGCGUUAUCCGGAUUUAUUGGGUUUAAAGGGUGCGUAGGUGGUUUGAUAAGUCAGCGGUGAAAGUUUGCAGCUUAACUGUAAAAAUGCCGUUGAAACUGUCGGACUUGAGUGUAAAUGAGGUAGGCGGAAUGCGUGGUGUAGCGGUGAAAUGCAUAGAUAUCACGCAGAACUCCGAUUGCGAAGGCAGCUUACUAAGCUACAACUGACACUGAAGCACGAAAGCGUGGGGAUCAAACAAGAUUAGAUACCCGUGUAGUCC
rnacentral:rRNA from 1 species